rnacentral:rRNA from 1 species
AGCGAACGCUGGCGGCAGGCUUAACACAUGCAAGUCGAACGGACCCUUCGGGGGUUAGUGGCGGACGGGUGAGUAACACGUGGGAAUGUGCCCUUAGGUUCGGAACAACACAGGGAAACCUGUGCUAAUACCGGAUGUGCCCUUCGGGGAAGGAUUUAUUGCCUUUGGAGCAGCCCGCGUCUGAUUAGCUAGUUGGUGAGGUAAAGGCUCACCAAGGCGACGAUCAGUAGCUGGUCUGAGAGGAUGGCCAGCCACAUUGGGACUGAGACACGGCCCAAACUCCUACGGGAGGCAGCAGUGGGGAAUCUUGCGCAAUGGGCGAAAGCCUGACGCAGCCAUGCCGCGUGGAUGAUGAAGGUCUUAGGAUUGUAAAAUCCUUUCACCGGGGACGAUAAUGACGGUACCCGGAGAAGAAGCCCCGGCUAACUUCGUG